rnacentral:rRNA from 1 species
UGGGGAAUUUUGGACAAUGGGGGAAACCCUGAUCCAGCCAUCCCGCGUGUGCGAUGAAGGCCUUCGGGUUGUAAAGCACUUUUGGCAGGAAAGAAACGUCAUGGGUUAAUACCCCGUGAAACUGACGGUACCUGCAGAAUAAGCACCGGCUAACUACGUGCCAGCAGCCGCGGUAAUACGUAGGGUGCAAGCGUUAAUCGGAAUUACUGGGCGUAAAGCGUGCGCAGGCGGUUCGGAAAGAAAGAUGUGAAAUCCCAGAGCUCAACUUUGGAACUGCAUUUUUAACUACCGGGCUAGAGUGUGUCAGAGGGAGGUGGAAUUCCGCGUGUAGCAGUGAAAUGCGUAGAUAUGCGGAGGAACACCGAUGGCGAAGGCAGCCUCCUAGGAUAACACUGACGCUCAUGCACGAAAGCGUGGGGGGCAAACAAG